rnacentral:ncRNA from 1 species
AUGGUAGGCCACUAUCCUACCAUCGAAAGUUGAUAGGGCAGAAAUUUGAAUGACAAUGCCGGGCUCGAUCGAGUCUGGUAAUUGGAAGAGUACAAUCUAAAUCCCUUAACGAGGAUCCAUUGCCCGGAAGUCCUUGCCAGCAGCCGCGCAAUUCUUCCUCCAAUAGCGUUAUUUAAGUUGUUGCAGUUAAAAGCUCGUAGUUGGACUUUGUAGAUGGGCCGGCCGGUCCGCCCCACGGGUGUGCACCGGUCGUUCGUCCCUUCUGCCGGCGAGCGCUCCUGGCCUACAAUUGGGGGUCGUGCCUCCGCUGUUACUUGACUAAAUUAGAGUGCUCAAAGCAAGCCUACGCUCUGUAUACAUUAGCAUGGGAUAACAUUAUAGGAUUUCGUCCUAUUCGUUCCUUCGGGAUCGGAGUAAUGAUUAACAGGGACAGUCGGGAAUCAUUGAGUCGUGAAAUAAUCCUCGACGCCCCUUGCCCUCAAGGUGGACCGAAUCCG